rnacentral:rRNA from 1 species
UGCCCUGUGACUAUAUGUUUAACGGCCGCGGUAUUUUGACCGUGCGAAGGUAGCGCAAUCACUUGUCCUUUAAAUGGGGACCUGUAUGAAUGGCACGACGAGGGCUUAACUGUCUCCUCUUUUAGGUCAAUGAAAUUGAUCUCUCCGUGCAGAAGCGGAGAUACAACCAUAAGACGAGAAGACCCUGUGGAGCUUUAGACACCAAAACAGACCAUGUUAAACACCCUAAAACAAAAGGCCAAACUUAAUGCCCCCUGCCUUGAUGUCUUCGGUUGGGGUGACCGAGGAGAAGAACACAACCUCCAUGCGGAAUAGGAGUACUACUCCCACAACCAUGAACCCCCGUUCUAAUCACCAGAAUUUCUGACCCUACGAUCCGGCAACGCCGAUUAACGAACCAAGUUACCCCAGGGAUAACAGCGCAAUCCCCUUUUAGAGCCCCUAUCAACAAGGGGGUUUACGACCUCGAUGUUGGAUCAGGACAUCCUAAUGGCGCAGCCGCUAUUAAGGGUUCGUUUGUUCAACGAUUUAAAGUCCUACGUGAUCUGAGUU